rnacentral:lncRNA from 1 species
CCCGGCCUGUCUCUUUUACGUGUAUUUUUUCCUUCCUCCCACAAAUAAAAAAUAUCACAGUGUAUUUAAACAAAACAAAAACCUAUGCAUGUACUUUGAAGCAGGUAGCUCUGUGAGCAGUAGCAAAUUCAUAUGGGUCUGUAGCAACCUCAAUUCUUGCCUCCUCAGAAGAAAGAAUUCCACCGAGGGGCAUAAGGCAGAGUGAGACAGCAAGGCAAGUUUUAGAGCAGGAGUGAAAGUUUAUUAAAAACCUUUAGAGCAGGAAUAGAAAGAAGUAAAGUACACUUGGAAGAGGGUCAAGUGGGUGACUUGAGAGAUGAAGUGCCCUGUUUGACCUUUAACUAGGGUUAUUACAUGUUGGCAUACUUCCGAGGGGAGAGGGUUGCAUCCCUUCUCCCCUGAUUCUUCCCUAGGGGUGGGCUGUUUGCAUACACAGGGGCUUGCCAGCACUUGGCAGAGGAGCAUGUGCAGUGUCUGUACUGAAAUUGUACACAUGCUCACUCGAGGUGCUCAAGAAUGAUCUUAUACCUGUUAAACGCCACCAUUCCGCCUCUUAGUGAGCAUGCUUGAGCCCACUCGUCCAACUCCUGAAAUCUUAUCAAGAAGCAGUUGAUCACUAGUUUCAGGUGUUUCUAUCCUUUGGGAGACUGCCUUUUCCUGGUGCUGGCUGCAACCAAUUGUUAUUUUAGAGAGAUACUGUAACAAUCACCUGAGAUAUCUUGGUAAGUGAGUAGGGAGUGUUCAGCCCUCCCCUACCCUGCUCAUGUCUGACUAGCUACCUACUGUAACAGCUCUGGAUUUAACUACUGUUUUUUACAAUUAGGCUGAAAUAAGUGGAGACUUUGCUGAUCUUCUUACCAAGGACAGAGGGCUAUGGAGGCUGAUACAGCAGGCACCUCAUGGAAACAGAGACUGGAUCUCACUACUUGCCUAGCUCUUGAACUCCUGGCCUCAAGCAAUCCUCCUGCCUCAACCUCCCAAAGUGCUGGGAUUACAGGAGUGAGCCACUAUGCCCCACAUGAAUUUGCUUAGAAACCAUUUCUCCGGAUGUGCUCCCUCUUUCCUUGUCAUGCAGUGGUAUUCCAUUUCCUCCAUUUUUUACCAGUAUUCUCCCAUUUGAGAAAACAAUGAACAAAUCAGUGAGAAGAAGCAAGCAGCUUAUAUUCUUUGAUAUUCUCUGCUAUUCUGGUUUUUGGGGAAAAUAUUUCAUAAUCAGUCCUCCAAAAUUGAAGUGAUGUGAAAGAAUUGGCAGAUAUUUAAAUAAAGGACCCAUAAGUAUAAAAUAAAUGGAAACUGUAGUAAUGAGGCUAUGAAAUAUAUAAGAUGGUUUAUUCAUAGGUAAUACAGACCUUCCAGAGAAAAGUUUAUACGCCUCACAGAAAGGACAGGGACUUUGAAAUUAACAAUGAACUUCUUUAGAAAUUCUGACUUUAAUAGUUAACAUUUGUAAGACUUGAAACAAGAUAUCUUGUUUAAUAAACUCCACAAACCUCAAUUUUUUUACAAGAUGGGGAAAAUAAUGGCUACCUUAGAUGAGUAUUGUGGGGAUUAAAGUAAAUAGAUAUAAAAUAUCUAAAAGAAUGCCUGGGGCAUUGUUAGUGUUGUAAUAACUUAGUUUCAUAAAGCUCCAGUAAAUAGUCAUGUACAUAUUAUUUUUUAGAAGUAUGAAGUUCAGAAAUAUUUGUGAUCCCUUUUCUUAUUUGCAGUCUUCUCAGUACUAAAUGGAAUGACUAAGGGUAUCUUUAAUUAUUAAACAACUCCUAACCUGAAAACAAAUGGAUUACAUUGGUGGCCGACUCACAGAGAAAGUUUAUGCAGAUAGAAUCUACAUGGCCAAUUCAAAAAAAGGACACAUUUUUAGAAACGAUAUCCAGGAUGUCACAAUACCUUGUCUACACUCAUCAAUUUUAUUGUCACCUUGCCACUAUUGAGCUUAGUGUUGACACUUCCCAGAGCCCAGAAGUUGCCCCUAAAAAUUAUGAAUUCCACACUGGGAAAGCAAGGUAAAGUAAUUCUUUUGUUGGGUUAUUGAUGCUUUGGAAGGGACAUAGAGAUAUGGAUGCAUACAUAGCUCAAAAUAAAAGAGAAUUUAUUCUGGAACAUGGCCAAGAUAAGAAUGUCACCUAAGUUCACCAGGCCAUCAUUUGAGAGUAGCUUCAGCAGAUUAAUACAUCAAAAAAGCCAAUAAAACAAAACAUUGAAAUGUAAUUAUUUAUUAAAUACUUGAAGGAAUUACAGUAGUUGAGUUGAAUCAUAUUUUUUUAAAAAGAUGAAGAAGAAAAACACAGCCUUUAAAAUUUCUCUUUCGAUCCCCUUUUUCUCUUUUCCUGAAAUUCUAAACCUCAAGGAAGUUGACUUAUAAGAUGUUCCUUUUUUAAAAUCAACCCACUCUCAAAAUUCC